rnacentral:tRNA from 1 species
GCGGGCGUGGCGGAAUGGCAGACGCGCUGGAUUUAGGUUCCAGUGGGGAAACUCGUGCAGGUUCAAGUCCUGUCGCCCGUA